UUAAGUCUUGGCCCAUACUACUUCAAUCAUAAGCUAUUUAUUAACCACUUCUCUAGAACCUACUUGAUAACUUAAAAUAAAAUAAAAUAAUAAUAAUAAUAAUAAAAGAAUAAAAAGGGAGAGAAGUAUCAGCAUAGUUCCAAGAAGAAGAAAAAAAAAACAAGAGCUACAGGGAAAGGAAGUGAAGAAAAGAAGCUAGAGACUUAGAACCAGAUAAGAAAAAUUCAAGAUCCAACUAGUUUCUCCAUUUUUGACUUUGCAAAUAAUUGAUACUUCAAGGGGACAAUUGUCGGAAGCGAAUUGGAGUUAUUCGACAAGAGUACAAUAAUUGAGCCGAAGGUGACAUUCUGACUCAGACAGAGCGAUAGGCAGAGCUGACAAAGAAUCCAGUAAGCCCCGCACUUGUUUCGCGAGGGCAACCAUGUUUCUAACUACUAUAGUAAAUUAGUUUUUUUUUUCUUUUCUAAUCCUAGAGUUUUGCUCCUUA